GCAAGUCGAGCGGUAGAGAGGUGCUUGCACCUCUUGAGAGCGGCGGACGGGCGAGUAAAGCCUAGGAAUCUGCCUGGUAGUGGGGGAUAACGCUCGGAAACGGACGCUAAUACCGCAUACGUCCUACGGGAGAAAGCAGGGGACCUUCGGGCCUUGCGCUAUCAGAUGAGCCUAGGUCGGAUUAGCUAGUUGGUGAGGUAAUGGCUCACCAAGGCGACGAUCCGUAACUGGUCUGAGAGGAUGAUCAGUCACACUGGAACUGAGACACGGUCCAGACUCCUACGGGAGGCAGCAGUGGGGAAUAUUGGACAAUGGGCGAAAGCCUGAUCCAGCCAUGCCGCGUGUGUGAAGAAGGUCUUCGGAUUGUAAAGCACUUUAAGUUGGGAGGAAGGGCAUUAACCUAAUACGUUAGUGUUUUGACGUUACCGACAGAAUAAGCACCGGCUAACUCUGUGCCAGCAGCCGCGGUAAUACAGAGGGUGCAAGCGUUAAUCGGAAUUACUGGGCGUAAAGCGCGCGUAGGUGGUUCGUUAAGUUGGAUGUGAAAUCCCCGGGCUCAACCUGGGAACUGCAUUCAAAACUGUCGAGCUAGAGUAU
rnacentral:rRNA from 1 species